UAAAAACACAACAAAAAUAAUGUCAAAGAUUGGUUCAUUUGCUUCUUAAGUUAAAUACUGCGAAUUUGCAAACGAGUCAACAUGCAUUUCAGUGUAUGUGGUGUCAAACCUCAAAAGCCUUUAUGUGGUGACAGUGAUACAUAAGUUUAUAUCAAUAAUUACAGCAAUGUGCUUCGAUCAAUCUGAUUCUACAUGGGUGUGUAGGGUGGAUUAAACUCAUAUUAAACUCAUAUAACAAAUAUUGUUCAUAUAGUAUGUUCAUACAAUGUGGUUAUCUGCCCCAUGUCACUCAAAAUUCAGAUGGCCACAUUAUGACACUGGGCAUUUUGUCCUCUUAAGAUAUGCCAUUCCUUUAUUAGUCCCACAGUAGGGAAAUUUGCAUCAUUCAUCAUAAGAUCACAGCUGUUGGACAUUUUAUUAACACACACUAAAUAACUUGCACUAUGAGUAAUACAGGAAAACGAUGAUUAUUGCUUUCAGGGUGAAUUUUAUUUACUAACAAGUAUCAGUAUACAGAGGAUUAUGUUAGUUCCUUUGGAUUGCCGGUCAUGUCAAAGUUGUGCGCAUUAUUUACGUUUAAGCUCGGUUUUCGACAUGUGACUUUUGCAUCCGUCUUUGGGAAAAGGAGGAAGGUUGAACAGGGUGCUACUGGGCUUUGUUCGUGCAGCUUUUAUAGUAACUCAGUGUUUGCAGUUGGGUUUAAUAUGCUCUAAAUAAGCCUACAGCUCAGACAGAACAUUGGAAGCCAGGCUGCAGGUCAGCCCAGUGCCGUCCGGCUCCACAUUGAUCUUCUU